ensembl:snoRNA Gm25860 small nucleolar RNA SNORA17
AUUGCCCAUAGAGGCAUUCCAGGUGUGUCUGCUGUGUCACAUGGGCACAUGGCAGAGAGAAGGGAGAAUAUGUCAAUGUCCAGUGUUCUGACCUAUGAACAUCUGAAUGAUUAGUAGCCUAAUAUC